CCAGACUCCUACGGGAGGCAGCAGUGAGGAAUAUUGGUCAAUGGGCGCGAGCCUGAACCAGCCAAGUCGCGUGAGGGAUGACGGCCCUACGGGUUGUAAACCUCUUUUGUCGGGGAGCAAAAAGGCCUCGUGAGGCCACAAGUGAGAGUACCCGAAGAAAAAGCAUCGGCUAACUCCGUGCCAGCAGCCGCGGUAAUACGGAGGAUGCGAGCGUUAUCCGGAUUUAUUGGGUUUAAAGGGUGCGUAGGCGGCCUGUUAAGCCCGCGGUAAAAGCCGGGGGCUCAACCCCGGCGAGCCGUUGAAACUGGCGGGCUGGAGUUGGAGAGAAGUACGCGGAAUGCGCGGUGUAGCGGUGAAAUGCUUAGAUAUCGCGCAGAACCCCGAUUGCGAAGGCAGCGUACCGGCUCCACACUGACGCUGAGGCACGAAAGCGUGGGUAUCGAACAGGAUUAGAUACCCUAGUAA
rnacentral:rRNA from 1 species